rnacentral:rRNA from 1 species
AUUGAACGCUGGCGGCAGGCCUAACACAUGCAAGUCGAGCGGAGCGGCGGACGGGUGCGUAAUACCUAGGAAUCUGCCUGGUCGUGGGGGAUAACGUCCGGUAACGGGCGCUAAUACCGAAUCCUAUCAGAUGAGCCUAGGUCGGAUUAGCUAGUUGGGGGGGUAAAGGCCUACAAAGGCGACGAUCCGCAACUGGUCUGAGAGGAUGAUCAGUCACACUGGAACGUAGACACGGGCCAGACUCCUACGGGAGGAAGCAGUGGGGAAUAUUGGACAAUGGGCGAAAGCCUGAUCCAGCCAUGCCGCGUGUAUGAAGAAGGCCUUCGGGUUGUAAAGUACUUUCAGCGGGGAGGCUUUACCCGCAGAAGAAGCACCGGCUAACUCCGUGCCAGCAGCCGCGGUAAUAC